rnacentral:rRNA from 1 species
GCCGCGUGAGUGAUGAAGGUUUUCGGAUCGUAAAGCUCUGUUGUUAGGGAAGAACAAGUGCCGUUCAAAUAGGGCGGCACCUUGACGGUACCUAACCAGAAAGCCACGGNUAACUACGUGCCAGCAGCCGCGGUAAUACGUAGGUGGCAAGCGUUGUCCGGAAUUAUUGGGCGUAAAGGGCUCGCAGGCGGUUUCUUAAGUCUGAUGUGAAAGCCCCCGGCUCAACCGGGGAGGGUCAUUGGAAACUGGGGAACUUGAGUGCAGAAGAGGAGAGUGGAAUUCCACGUGUAGCGGUGAAAUGCGUANAGAUGUGGAGGAACACCAGUGGCGAAGGCGACUCUCUGGUCUGUAACUGACGCUGAGGAGCGAAAGCGUGGGGAGCGAACAGGAUUAGAUACCCUGGUAGUCCACGCCGUAAACGAUGAGUGCUAAGUGUUAGGGGGUUUCCGCCCCUUAGUGCUGCAGCUAACGCAUUAAGCACUCCGCCUGGGGAGUACGGUCGCAAGACUGAAACUCAAAGGAAUUGACGGGGGCCCGCACAAGCGGUGGAGCAUGUGGUUUAAUUCGAAGCAACGCGAAAGAACCUUACCAGGUCUUGACAUCCUCUGACAAUCCUAGAGAUAGGACGUCCCCUUCGGGGGCAGANUGACAGGUGGUGCAUGGUUGUCCUCAGCUCGUGUCGUGAGAUGUUGGGUUAAUUCCCGCAACGAGCGCAACCCUUGAUCUUANUUGCCAGCAUUCANUUGGGCACUCUAAGGUGACUGCCGGUGACAACCNGAAGAAGGUGGGGAU